GACGAACGCUGGCGGCGUGCUUAACACAUGCAAGUCGAGCGGAGCGGCGAACGGGUGAGUAACGCGUGAGUAACUGCCCCCCUCUCUGAGUUAACAGCUGGAAACGGCUGCUAAUACCGGAUAGUGGGGGAUGACUCGCGUCCUAUCAGCUUGUUGGUGGGGUAGUGGCCUACCACUGCGACGACGGGUAGCCGGCCUGCGAGGGCGUCCGGCCACAUGGGGCGAAGGUACGGCGCAAAGGCCAACGGGCGGCAGCGGUGGGGAAUAUGGCACAAUAGGGGAAACCCAGAGGCAGCAACGCCGCGUGCGGGAGGACGGCCUGCGGGUUGUAAACCUCUUUGAGCCAUGACGCGGUAGUGGCAGAGAAAGCACCGGCUAACUACGUGCCAGCAGCCGCGGUAAUUC
rnacentral:rRNA from 1 species